AUUGAACGCUGGCGGCAGGCUUAACACAUGCAAGUCGAGCGGGGUGAUGGUGCUUGCACUAUCACUUAGCGGCGGACGGGUGAGUAAUGCUUAGGAAUCUGCCUAUUAGUGGGGGACAACAUCUCGAAAGGGAUGCUAAUACCGCAUACGUCCUACGGGAGAAAGCAGGGGAUCACUUGUGACCUUGCGCUAAUAGAUGAGCCUAAGUCGGAUUAGCUAGUUGGUGGGGUAAAGGCCUACCAAGGCGACGAUCUGUAGCGGGUCUGAGAGGAUGAUCCGCCACACUGGGACUGAGACACGGGCCAGACUCCUACGGGAGGCAGCAGUGGGGAAUAUUGGACAAUGGGGGGAACCCUGAUCCAGCCAUGCCGCGUGUGUGAAGAAGGCCUUAUGGUUGUAAAGCACUUUAAGCGAGGAGGAGGCUCUUUUGGUCAAUACCCAAGAUGAGUGGACGUUACUCGCAGAAUAAGCACCGGCUAACUCUGUGCCAGCCGCCGCCGCCG
rnacentral:rRNA from 1 species